CUGAAUUUUCCUAAGAGUACGAAUCAAGCGGCUCCUCUACCUGUAAAACGGGGAAUUCGCCUGGUGUGCAUUGGGAUCUAAAGGGAUCUCUGGGAUGUUGUGGCUGGAGAGAGACACAUGUGGAUGGUGUUGGACACUGGAUUUGUCCAUCAGAGCUCAAGGAGUCAGAAGUCACUGUGGAAGGACCAUGGGGGAUAAUUUAAGGAGCUCCAAGACCCCAUCUCACGGCCGGUGACAAGGAGCAACUCCCAGGGGAAGCGAGGGGGCGGUGGAUUCCAGCGAACGUCGAGCGGGAACGAGGCAAGUGUCGCGAGCGGUGAGGACGGGCCUUGUCUUUCUGCGGAGCCAUAUCCUUCGCCGUGUUCUCCGUGUGCCAGUAUACCCACAUGUGCAAGAGGAAUGGCUGAAUCUAACUACAUGAGCCCAGCUGAGCAGCCCAGAUGAGGUAUGCCAAGGGACACUGUCUUGGGCCACAUCCUGUUCAACACUUACCAAUGGCUAGAAUGGACUUACUGCUCAUGGCGUCCCUGUAAGACAGGUUGUGUUACCCCUUUUACAGGCCAAGUGAUUCCCCCAUGGGGCUGAACCGCCUUGUCCCCGAGGGGCGUGUGGGAAAGUGGGAAGGGUGGACGUUUCAGGGAAGGUGAGAGGCAGGGUUUGCAAAGGCCUUAGCCAGGCUGAAAUGGGCUCAAAUUCAUGCAUAGCAAGAUGAAAGGCAAGAGAGACCUUUGCUUGGGGUUCAGAAUACCCACCAGACACACACAGGAUGUGGGAUACCUAGGUCAACAGCAUAAGUGAAAGAGGCUGGGUUUUUAGUUGGCAGGAAGUCUCGUAUGAGUCAACAGGGGGUAGGUGGCAGCCAGCAAAGCUAAUGUCACUGUAGCAUCCACCAAGUGGAGGUACAACAAGUGGGGGACGGAGGAGAUACUCCCGAGUCAGUCUGCAUCCAGGAAAUGGAGCUCAGGUCUGGAAACCUGAGUCAGGGAAAGGAGCAGAGAGCUCACCGGGCUCUCUGACCCAGAGGCUGGGGGUGGAGAGGUGGCUCCUGGCUGUUGCUGGACACUCUCCUCGUCCUCUGGCAUCCCCAAAGCGUAUUAGUCUAUUUCUGAACAAUUACAGCCCCUUCUUGCUCUUAUCCGAUUGCCUUGCCUGCCUCCAGAAUACGCUACUCAUUCAACUUCGGGUUUUAUUCACGUAACCUGAGUACCUGUGGGGAUUCCUUGUGACCUCGUUUCUACAUGAAGUCACAUUCAAAGAAGCCCAAUCCAGCAAGCGAAAGAGAGAGCUUUCCAUCUUCAGGCACACCUCUCAAAGAGAUGAAAAAGAAUGAGGUCCCUGUUUCCUUUUCUCUCUCACUAUCUUGGGCUUCAAGUCUUCUUUAGAAACUUUGACUCUUCCAAGGCACUCCAAACCCUCCGGGCAUCCAUAAUCGACCUGACACGCCAUGACUCUCAACUUUCUGCAUCCCCAUUAUACACAAAGGACUCAACACCUAUGUCUUUUUUUUUUUUUUUCUUCUGGUCCCUCCUUCCCUACCCCCUCUAUGUUCUUCUUGAGUUUUCUUUCCACUUCACUGCUGACCCAAAUUCCUCCCUCCGACAGGGUGGGGGGACUCAGAGACUGAUCUGGCAAGCCAGGAUGCUCCCCCGUGACCUGGGUCUCUCCAGCACUGUCUGUCCCUUCCUAUCCUCCCAGGAACUGCGCUGGCCAAGAUGGAGCUCUGAGGGAGCUGAAUGAGAAGAAACAGAGCAGGCCAAGACCGCAUUUUUGGAGAGUGGGGUGUGUGGGGCAAAUAUGGCGACGGGAGGGAUGACGGGGACGUCGGGAACACUCCGCAUGCAAAGUUUGUCCUUGGUGUUUGUCAGCACACGGUCGCUGUGGGUGGAAGAGCCUGGCCACCCGUGCGUACAGAUCCUACCUCAGAUUGCCGUGUGAUGGCUGCUUAUAGUGAACAGCAGCAGACAGAGGGCCUUCCCCAAAAGUUCCCCAUCACCUUGCAUGGUUCAUUUCCAUGGCCAUGGGCUCCUCUUCUCCACAGGGCUGACUCUCGUUUCUUUAAUGGCAUACCCUGAGAUGUCCUGGGGGAAGGCUGGCUGGAGAGACAGCACUCACCACAGAUUCCAUGUGCCGGGCUACACUUCCCCGCCUCCUCUGCAGCUAGAUUGGGGCCCCACGGCUUGUUCUGCCCAAUGGGCUGAGACGAAGGCAAUCGCGGGUUGAUGUGCCUCCUCGUUUUGCCAUAGGGACUUUGGACGCCCCGUGUUCCAGACGGCAUGCCAAAAGGGGGAGGGUCUCGCAACUCACGGGGCACCUGAUAUGCGCAAGAAAUAAACUUUCAUCUCAAGAUUGAGAUUUCAGUCUUGUCACUGCCACAUGGCCUGGCCUGGCCCCGUGAAUAGUCAGAGCGUCAGAAUUAACGGAGUAAUUGCUAUUCUUGAGCUCUUUAAUGUGAGGAAGGAAGAAGCUGUCUCUGGAGCCACCCGGGGCAGCUGAUUGACGCUUUCCCUGACUGUCAUCAUCCAGCACAGAUGGCACUUCCUGUUUGGUAACACCUCACGUGGGCUUCUUCAUCCCCCACUGACUCUGCCAGUCACCAUCCUACACAGUCAAAUGUGCACAGUAUUAGAAGUUUGCCAAGAACACAUCCUUGUGUCUGCCAAGGAGUGUCUGUUAGAGGAAGAGUAUUCUAGCAGACGAUGUUCAGAGGAGAAAUGGACCACCCCAGGAGGCAGCAAACCCCUUGUCUCUGAGUUUCCUCAUUUGAGAACGGGAAGAAAGAUACUGACCCACCUUGAAGAAUUUCCAUGAGGACCCAGUAAGAAGACGGGCUGAAAACAUUUCAAAAACCCUACAAAGACCAAAGUUGUCAUUUCAAGAAGGAAUUCAUUCAGCGGCAGAUAAGUCGCCCAGUUUCGAAUCUUGCUUCUACCUGCCUCCAGCUGUGUGUCCAAGGACGAAACGGAGUAUUUUUUUUUUUGAGAAUUUGUUUUCCAUCUUUAAAAUGGGAGCAAAAGGAAUAUCCACCUCUUAGCAUUUCUGCGAAGAUGGUGUGAAAUUGUGAGCAAGACCAUUCAUUUGCUGAGGAUUCCCUGUUUCUAUCAGCAAUCAUGUAACCAUGCUGUGUUUGGACCAUGUGUGGACAAGGAUGCCUGUAACAUAUAUGGAUUUGUCUAGGCAGCGGGACUCUGACUUCAGAUAGGAGUGUGUGCCAUGGGCUAGGCUGCCGGCAGGUCUUUCGGACAGCACCCUCGCUUCCAGACCCUGUGCCCCCAUAAAGGUUCGAGAGUCACCGAGAGUCCCGGCUCAGAGAGACUUGGGAUCUGGAUGGUGGUUCUCCCCCAGCCCAGCUCUGCCAAGCUCACCUGACCUCGCCAAGCCUCCAUUUGCCGGUUCUGUUUGGAGAACAGCAACGCCUGGCCCCAUCCUCCCUCGCAGGGCAAUCAAGCCUCGGGGGGGGGGGGGGGGGUUGGAAAAGUUGUGAAAUGCCAGGUUCAGUCCAAGAGGCAGCCUGCCACAUGAGGAAUGUUUCUGCGUCAUUUCCAAAACAGCUGUGGAAGAUGUCGCUCCGGGCCACCAGUGCGAAAGACCAUGAGAAAACGGCCCGAGCCCUUGAGGAAAGGCGCUCUUUCGUGGUGCAUUGGGGUUUGUGAUGUCAGAGCACGAGAGUUGUGUGGUUCGCUUUUUGCUUUGGCUUUCCAGAGACCUCGGGUGAAAUUAUACGCUCAGUUGAAAUAACUAUCACCAUUAGUUAAGAUUCUUUGGGUUACAAGUGGCAGAAACCCAGCCCAGACACCUUCAAAUAAAAGGAUAACUUAUCAGGUUAA